rnacentral:lncRNA from 1 species
GACUAUUUCACUUAGAUUUAUCAAACGAGAAUGCGAAUUCUCUGCUUAUUUUGGCAAAACAGAGGCUGUUGCUAGUCGCAAUAGCGCUGUCGCCGAUCAAGAGUAGUUUCGUUUUCUUUGAAGAAGAAGCAGCAGCUUCUUUGUGUUGUCUAGGACUUUUGUUGCUUUGUAUUUUUGUAGGUAGCUAAUGAAGAAGAAGCUUAUGCCUGUUUGUAUUAUCAAGAAAACGGCUGAUCUGAUCAGA